CCUACGGGUGACAGCAGUGAGGAAUAUUGGUCAAUGGGCGAGAUCCUGAACCAGCCAAGCAGCGUGCGGGAUGACGGCCCCAUGGGUUGUAAACUUCUUUUGUACGGGAAUAACACCCCUGACGUGUCCCGGAUUGCGUGUAUCCGAUGAAAAAGCAUCGGCUAACUCCGUGCCAGCAGCCGCGGUAAUACGGAGGAUGCGAGCGUUAUCCGGAUUUAUUGGGUUUAAAGGGUGCGUAGGCGGUCCGUUAAGUCAGCGGUAAAAUUGCGGGGCUCAACCCCGUCGAGCCGUUGAAACUGGCAGACUUGAGUUGGCGAGAAGUACGCGGAAUGCGCGGUGUAGCGGUGAAAUGCAUAGAUAUCGCGCAGAACUCCGAUUGCGAAGGCAGCGUACCGGCGCCAGACUGACGCUGAGGUACGAAAGCGUGGGGAUCGAACAGGAUUAGAUACCCGGGUAGUC
rnacentral:rRNA from 1 species